GACGGAGGAUGCAAGCGUUAUCCGGAAUGAUUGGGCGUAAAGCGUCCGCAGGUGGCAGUUCAAGUCUGCUGUCAAAGACCGGGGCUUAACUUCGGAAAGGCAGUGGAAACUGAACAGCUAGAGUAUGGUAGGGGCAGAGGGAAUUCCUGGUGUAGCGGUGAAAUGCGUAGAGAUCAGGAGGAACACCGGUGGCGAAGGCGGCUACCUGGACAGAAACUGACGCUGAGGCGCGAAAGCUAGGGGAGCAAACAGG
rnacentral:rRNA from 1 species